UUCCAAACUUGGAAAUCCAUGAGUGUGA
rnacentral:piRNA from 1 species